rnacentral:rRNA from 1 species
CCUACGGGAGGCAGCAGUGGGGAAUAUUGCACAAUGGGCGCAAGCCUGAUGCAGCCAUGCCGCGUGUGUGAAGAAGGCCUUCGGGUUGUAAAGCACAUUCAGCGGGGAGGAAGGCGGUGAGGUUAAUAACCUCAUCGAUUGACGUUACCCGCAGAAGAAGCACCGGCUAACUCCGUGCCAGCAGCCGCGGUAAUACGGAGGGUGCAAGCGUUAAUCGGAAUUACUGGGCGUAAAGCGCACGCAGGCGGUCUGUCAAGUCGGAUGUGAAAUCCCCGGGCUCAACCUGGGAACUGCAUUCGAAACUGGCAGGCUAGAGUCUUGUAGAGGGGGGUAGAAUUCCAGGCGUAGCGGUGAAAUGCGUAGAGAUCUGGAGGAAUACCGGUGGCGAAGGCGGCCCCCUGGACAAAGACUGACGCUCAGGUGCGAAAGCGUGGGGAGCAAACAGGAUUAGAUACCCGGGUAGUC